CCAAGGGGCCUGCCGGCGCCUGCUCUCCUUUCGGAGCGCUAAUCUGACCUCAAGAAAACUUUAGCUGGGCGAGGGAACGAGGCUGCUCCAAAAGGUGUUGCUGCAGGGAGCCUCUGGGAGUCCAAGGGUGGAGAGAUCUGCCUUCAUCUGAAGAUCUCUGCUAAAGAUCAGAUUGCAAGAUAA
rnacentral:lncRNA from 1 species